AGGAAGAUGAAGUCAGCUCCUAUGUCAUGUGACCAGGGUUUUAGAGUGUCUACACAUAACCCCCAAGGACAAGACAACCUUGAUCGUAUAGAUUUAUUGACAUUAAAUGACAGAAUGCAUCCAAAGCAACUGUAUUGUGGGUCAGGAACCAUAGAAGAAACAGCAUAUCAAUAUCCACCUUUAUGGCUAUGGACUAAUAAGAAAGCGUUAACAACAAACAGUAUUAUUAUUAUUAUUAUUAUUCAAGGUUAUAUAUCAACACUUCAUGUACAUUAUGCAGCUUGUGUGUCUUUAACAGACCUGGGUUCAAAUAGUAUUUGAAAUCAUUUCAAAUACUUCAUCUUGAUUGAUUGAGCUUGCAUGGCUAAAUGCAGUGUUUCCCACCCCUGGUCUUGCAGUACCCCGAACAGCCCAACCCUGGUCCUCCAGUACUCCGAACAGCCCAACCCUGGUCCUCCAGUACCCCGAACAGCCCAACCCUGGUCCUCCAGUACCCCGAACAGCCCAACCCUGGUCCUGCAUACCCCGAACAGCCCAACCCUGGUCCUGCAGUACCCUGAACAGCCCAACCCUGGUCCUCCAGUACCCCGAACAGCCCAACCCUGGUCCUGCAGUACCCCGAACAGCCCAACCCUGGUCCUGCAGUACCCCGAACAGCCCAACCCUGGUCCUCCAGUACCCCGAACAACCCAACCCUGGUCCUCCAGUACCCCGAACAGCCCAACCCUGGUCCUCCAGUACCCCGAACAGCCCAACCCUGGUCCUCCAGUACCCCGAACAGCCCAACCCUGGUCCUCCAGUACCCCGAACAGCCCAACCCUGGUCCUCCAGCACCCCCAACAGAACACAUUUACACUGUAGCCCUGGACAAACACACCUCAUUCAACUCAUUGAAAGCUUUAUGAUUAGUUAACAAGUUGAGUCAAGUAUGCUUGUCCAGGUUUGCAGUAAACAUUUGUACUGUUGGGGGUACUGGAGGACCAGGGUCGGGAAACACUGACUUAAUGAACCAAUAGAAUUGUCCCAAAAUAGCAAACUCCGCCCAUCUGGCACUCCAGGCAGGACAUAUCAAAUGCUCACAGUUUCAGAUAGUUUUUGAACCCAGGUUCUUCUCAUGACACAGUCAGCACAGAUGAUAACAGAUCUUCAAUGAUAGACAUAUUACAUUAUGGCUUUUCAAUCAUUACAGUUACAGAAAGUUACCAGACAGUAUGGCAGAGCUAAGCUAACAAUUAUGUCAAUUAAAUCUAUAAAACAAUAACUGUACUUUUCCCUUUCCUUCUUCAUUCCCUGUUUAUUGAGAGCACGGGGAAGAAAACCUAUCACUUCCCUUUACCGCCGUAGAUAGGACAUGGAAUGGAGCGAUCAGUUUUCUUGAACACGUUGUAUUUACAUGCCUUUUGGUCAAACUCCUUCACGCAAUCAUCAGGAAAUCUUGUGGGCUCAGAAUAUCUGCAAUCAAACAAUCAACAUCAGCAAAUACUUUGAUAGAAAAUGUAUGGACUAUCACUCACUCACUCAUUCUCAAAUCAAAUUUAUACAACAGGUGUAGACCUUACUGUGAAAUGCUUAUUUAGAAGCCCUUAACCAACAAUGCAGUUUUAAGAAAAUAAGAGUUAAGAAAAUAUUUACUAAAUAAACUGAAGUAACACAAUAAAAUAACAAUAACGAGGCUAUGUACAGUGGGUACCGAAUGAAUGUGCGGGGGUACAGGUUAGUUGAGGUAAUGAAGGUAAUUUGUAAAGUGACUAUGCAUAGAUUAAACAUCGUUCGGGUCUCCAUUUGAUGAAUUGUUCAGGAGUCCUUAUGGUUUGGGGGUAGAAGCUGUUAAGGAGCCUUUUGGACCUAGACUUGGCGUUCUGGUACCACUUCCCGUGCGAAAGCAGAGAGAAUAAUCAAUGACUUGGGUGACUGGAGUCUUUGAAAACAAAUUUGGGCCUCUGACACCGCCUGGUAUAGAGGUCUUGGAUGGCAGGGAGCUUGCCCCUAGUGAUGUACUGGGCCGUACGCACUACCCUCUGUAGCGCCUUUUAGUCAGAGGCCGAGCAGUUGCCAUACCAAGCGGUGAUGCAGCCAGUCAAGAUGCUCUCAAUGGUGCAGCUGUAUAACUUUUUGAGGAUCUCAGGACCCAUGCCAAAUCUUUUUAGUUUCCUGGG
rnacentral:lncRNA from 1 species